ensembl:snRNA U2 U2 spliceosomal RNA
GUCACUUCUUGGCCUUUUGGCUAAGAUCAAGUGUAGUAUCUGUUCUUAUCAGUUUAAUAUCUGCUAUGCAUCUUUACCCCAUUGUGUCCUUUGAAAUGCCAAGAACUCUGAAGUUGUUUAAUAAAAAUCGCUUUGAUUGAUUUUCAUCUUUGCAGCCAAGUAGGGGGGACAGGUGCCAUUUCCUCUGACUUUAA